GGACCGCCACCACCACCACCGUCGUCGCCACUGCACACGCGGUCAAGUUGGCGAACCCGCGUAAAGCGUUGUUCAAUCCGUACAUCUAGUGUGCGUGUCCAUCUGUACGCAUGUCCUGUCGUCACGCCAGGUAUUACUCCGCGACGCCAUUCGACCACGCAGAGCGGCCACACCGAUAGCGGCCAGACGGAAUCGGAACAGUCGGGAGGACGAGACAACACGAGGUCCAGAUAGUCGGGGUGCUGGCCCUUCUUACGUCGUGUCGGUUUUGCUUUGCGCUCUGCCCUCUCGCUCUCUCUCUUCCGCUCGCCUCUCUAGACCCUUCCGCUGGUUGGGGGACGAUUCUGGCUUUGGCUUCUGCUGUCUGUGUGGGCCUCCGGUUGUGAAAAUCGUGUCGUGCACGGGCUGGGCCGCCGUUGCUGCGCUGGAAAACUAUCCGAAACGUUGGGCAGUGCGUUCGGGCAGGCGAGGCAACCGAAACCAGCUGGUGGUAUGUGAGUUAGAUGGUAUUAUUUUGGUGUAGAAAAAUGCACUCCACAAAUAUGUUUUUCACUCCGUAAUGGCCGACCUCACAACCAAGGUCAGUAUAGCAUGCGGGUUGGAUCGUCCCAGUGCCGCCUGACAGCUGCACAGUGGGCGUGUGCGCGCGCUACGGCAUCUGACAGGUUGGAUCGUUGGCAAUGAGAGGCAAUUUCGUAUGAAAAACUUAAAGUUUGUUCUGAAAUAUCGAAUAAUUUCCACACAUAGUAAGAAGUUAUGCAAGUAACUUCAGUAAACAUGUAAUUAAUUGAAAUAGUCUUUAACGUGGCUCAGUUUGGUUGAAUUGAAAAAAAGUUUUUCCUUGACAAAAAACUGCAUUCCGUGUCUCAGAGCAUUUUUAAGCAACAGAAAUUGUUCUAGUUGUUACUUUUGUUCCCUAAUAGAUUUUUAGCUAUGCAAUUGUAUCACCAAGAACUUACAAUGGUCUUUUAAAUUAUUGUUGUUUUUUUUUAAAAUAAAGUAAUACGUAUUUUCGAGUUUA